rnacentral:rRNA from 1 species
ACUCCGAUUGAUCCUGUCGGACUCCACUGCUAUCGAGGUGAGACUAAGCCAUGCUAGUCGCACGCCCCCGGACCAUGGCGGGGGAGUGGCAGACCGCUCAGUAACACGUAGCUAACCUACCCUCGGGACGGGGAUAACCUCGGGAAACUGAGGCUAAUACCCGAUAGGUGUGGAGGCCUGGAAGGGUUCCACGCCGAAAGGCCCCGGCCCCCACGUCGGACUGGGGUGCCCGAGGAUGGGGCUGCGGCCGAUCAGGCUGUUGGUGAGGUAACGGCUCACCAAACCUCUGACCGGUACGGGCCGUGAAAGCGGUAGCCCGGAGAUGGGCACUGAGACAGGGGCCCAGGCCCUACGGGGCGCAGCAGGCGCGAAAACUCCGCAAUGCACGCAAGUGCGACGGGGUUACCUCGAGUGCCGCCUGAUGAAGGCGGCUUUUCCACAGUGUAAGGAGCUGUGGGAAUAAGAGGGGGGCAAGACUGGUGUCAGCCGCCGCGGUAACACCAGCCCCUCGAGUGGUGGAGGCGAUUAUUGGGCCUAAAGCGUCCGUAGCCGGCCCGUCAAGUCCCCCGUUAAAUCCGAUGUCCCAAGCGUCGGACUGCGGGGGAUACUGCCGGGCUAGAGGGUGGGAGAGGCCAGCGGUAUUCCCGGGGUAGGGGCGAAAUCCGUUGAUCCCGGGAGGACCACCAGUGGCGAAGGCGGCUGGCUUGAACACGCCUGACGGUGAGGGACGAAAGCUGGGGGAGCGAAUCGGAUUAGAUACCCGAGUAGUCCCAGCCGUAAACGAUGUAGGCUAGGUGUUGGGGCGGCCAUGGGCCGCCCCAGUGCCGCAGGGAAGCCCUUAAGCCUACCGCCUGGGGAGUACGGCCGCAAGGCUGAAACUUAAAGGAAUUGGCGGGGGAGUACCACCAGGCGUGAAGCCUGCGGUUUAAUUGGAGUCAACGCCGGGAAACUUACCGGGAGCGACAGCAGGAUGAAGGCCAGGUUGAAGGUCUUGCCAGACGAGCUGAGAGGAGGUGCAUGGCCGUCGCCAGUUCGUGCCGUGAGGUGUCCUCUUAAGUGAGGUAACGAACGAGACCCGCGCCCCAUGUUGCCACCAAAUCCAAACGGAUGUUGGGCACACUUGGGGGACCGCCGCCGAUGAGGCGGAGGAAGGUGCGGGCAACGGCAGGUCAGUAUGCCCCGAAUCUCCCGGGCCACACGCGGGCUGCAAUGGUAGGGACAGAGGGCUGCAACCCCGAGAGGGGAAGCCAAUCCCUAAACCCUACCUCAGUUGGGAUCGAGGGCUGCAACCCGCCCUCGUGAACAUGGAAUGCCUAGUAACCGCGCGUCAUCAUCGCGCGGUGAAUACGUCCCUGCUCCUUGCACACACUGCCCGUCGAACCAGCCAAAUGGAGUUUGGAUGAGGCGUGGUCGAAGGUUGGCCGCGUCGAAUCCGAGCUCCGUGAGGAGGGUUAAGUCGUAACAAGGUGGCCGUACGGGAACGUGCGGCCGGAUCACCUCCU